rnacentral:piRNA from 1 species
AUGGCUUUAGAACAUCAAGAUGUU